rnacentral:rRNA from 1 species
UACGUAGGGAGCAAGCGUUGUUCGGAUUUACUGGGCGUAAAGGGCGCGUAGGCGGCGCGACAAGUCACUUGUGGAAAUCUCCGGGCUUAACUCGGAACGGUCAAGUGAAACUGUCAUGCUAGAGUGCAGAAGGGGCAAUCGGAAUUCUUGGUGUAGCGGUGAAAUGCGUAGAUAUCAAGAGGAACACCUGAGGUGAAGACGGGUUGCUGGGCUGACACUGACGCUGAGGCGCGAAAGCGUGGGGAGCAAACAGG